GUGGGGAAUAUUGGACAAUGGGCGCAAGCCUGAUCCAGCAAUGCCGCGUGGGUGAAGAAGGUCUUCGGAUCGUAAAGCCCUUUCGACAGGGACGAUGAUGACGGUACCUGUAGAAGAAGCCCCGGCUAACUUCGUGCCAGCAGCCGCGGUAAUACGAAGGGGGCUAGCGUUACUCGGAAUUACUGGUCGUAAAGGGCGCGUAGGCGGCUCUGUUAGUCAGGCGUGAAAUUCCGUGGCUUAACCGGGGGAGUGCGCUUGAAACUGCAGGGCUUGAGGCCGAGAGAGGGUGGUGGAAUUCCCAGUGUAGAGGUGAAAUUCGUAGAUAUUGGGAAGAACACCGGUGGCGAAGGCGACCACCUGGGUCGUAUCUGACGCUGAGGCGCGACAGCGUGGGGAGCAAACAGGAUUAGAAACCCUGGUAGUCC
rnacentral:rRNA from 1 species